CUGCAAACUUCGUUUUGUAGAGUGGAUUAAGCAUCCUACGGAGCCUUUGAAGGACUCCAGAGUGUGCCUGAAUGGAUCCGAAUAGCAACUGAGCCGUUCAUUUGACAAACACACAUGAACUGUCUACUGAGUGGCAUGGGCAAAGGCUCUGGGGAGAAACAACACACGAAGUGCUUGCUGCUCCUGCUCUCUUGAAGCUCUGUUCUAAUGAUGACGGGCAGACACUGACAUAUAACUACAAAUGCUGAUUGGUGGGAUCCAUUAUAGACAAGAUGAAUCCUGAAGAAGAAAAAGCAAACAUAAUUUCAGAGGACUUCACUGGAGAUGGUGUGGACACAGAGGCUGGAAGACAGAAGAAGAAUUUGAAGGUACAAAAGAAACAGAAAAAGAAAAGGGUGA
rnacentral:lncRNA from 1 species